UACGAACUGUGCAAACGUUAUUCGGAAUCACUGGGCGUAAAGGGUGCGUAGGCGGCUAUUUAAGUAGGGUGUGAAAGCCCCCGGCUCAACCGGGGAAUUGCGUCCUAAACUGGGUAGCUCGAGUGAGAUAGAGGUGUGUGGAACUUCCGGUGGAGCGGUGAAAUGUGUUGAUAUCGGAAGGAACGCCGGUGGCGAAAGCGACACACUGGGUCUCAACUGACGCUGAGGCACGAAAGCCAGGGGAGCGAACGGG
rnacentral:rRNA from 1 species